AUUUUUUAUUUUUAUUUUUGAGAGACAGAGACAGCAGAGCAGGGGAGGGUCAGAGAGAGGGAGAUACAGAAUCUGAAGCAGGCUCCAGGCUCUGAGCUGUCAGCACAGAGCCCGACGCGGGGCUUGAACCCACGAACAGUGAGAUCAUGACCUGAGCUGAAGCUCAACCGACUGAGCCACCGAGGCUCCCCUACAAUCCUCCUUAUAUGACAAAUAAGGACCCAAAUCAUGUAAAGUCCUGAGAAACUUAUCUGUUUCAGAAUAUAAGUAUCUGAUGAAGAAGACUACUGACCUACGUCAGACCAUUUUUGGAAGGCAGUUUCAUUCCUCAAAGCUCUGCCAGGAGAACGGAAGGGACCAGAGGAACUGUGUGGUGAGCCGAGGCGAUCUGGGGGAGCAGGGCUGGGACUGCACAAGUUGCAACGUGUGCAUGAUGACAGGCAUUGAUUCUGGAAUCUGAGCCAUUGACGCAUCUCUUUGUCACAUGGAUUCCCCAGGGCACAGAAGGCCGGUGGCAAAGAAGGGAGUGGAAAAGAGGUUGCAGAAGAUUUACUUCAUGCACAGGAAAUGGUGGCGUUGCCUCUGGGCUCGGUGCUGCCGCAACCCUGGGGUUGGGAAACUCAGAAAAGGAGCACAUCGUGGGACCCUGGGCCCUGCUUGGGGGAUAGAUUGUGUCCUCACGAGGUUUGAGGGGCCACACAGCACAGACCGUGAUCCGGGUGGCUGGGGAAGGCCGCACAGGUGGGGGUCACAGCCUGUGGAAAGAAGAGUGAGGAUGGCAGACGUCCUGGGGCAGCACCCAGCCUCCCUGCGGCUGGCGUGUGGGCAUGGCUGCCAGGGACUGUGCCAUCUGUAA
rnacentral:lncRNA from 1 species